rnacentral:tRNA from 1 species
GGCUCCAUAGCUCAGUUGGUUAGAGCGCUAGCCUGUCACGCUAGAGGUCGACGGUUCGAGCCCGUUUGGAGUCGCCA